CGGGAAUUUUGGGCAAUGGGCGAAAGCCUGACCCAGCAACGCCGCGUGAGGGAUGAAGUAUUUCGGUAUGUAAACCUCGAAAGAAUGGGAAGAAUAAAUGACGGUACCAUUUAUAAGCUCCGGCUAACUACGUGCCAGCAGCCGCGGUAAUACGUAGGGAGAAAGCGUUGUUCGGAUUUACUGGGCGUAAAGGGCGCGUAGGCGGCGCGGUAAGUCACUUGUGAAAUCUCUGAGCUUAACUCAGAACGGCCAAGUGAUACUGCUGUGCUAGAGUGCGGAAGAGGCAACCGGAAUUCUUGGUGUAGCGGUGAAAUGCGUAGAUAUCAAGAGGAACACCUGAGGCGAAGGCGGGUUGCUGGGCCGACACUGACGCUGAUGCGCGAAAGCCAGGGGAGCAAACG
rnacentral:rRNA from 1 species